GUUCUCCCCGUGGUCGCGGCGGCGGCGGCGGUGGCGGCGGGUGGGGGAGAGCGCUGAAGUCGCUUGUACUCGCCGGGCUUUCACGUCCCCCCCCCGCCCCGCCCCUCCACCCCGAUAUCUUCCCCCACCACCCCUCGGCGAGGAGUAAGUGCCACCGCUCCGCCUUCUCCUUUUCGCAAUGUUGACGCAAUCUAUAAAUAGUGGAACAAAAGGACCAACUUCCUCGCAGCUUUGCUGAAACUGCACAAAAAAGGCAACCGGGGGGGGAACACACACGCGGUUAUUUUUUGAUUUUAUUUUUCUCCGGUUAAAAGGCGAAUCCUCCUCCUCUCUUCCUCCCUCUCUCUCCUUCCCCCCACCUCCCUACUGGAAGAUCUUUUUUUAUUUUCCCUUGCUGCCUCCUAUGCUGGCAACGUCCUGCGAGUGGCUAUUUUGCUUUUGCACCGAGAGAAGAAGCUUCCCCCCUCGCCCUCUCUUCUGACACUUAUGGAUGAAAUCCACACUGAUGUCUAACCUGUAAUGAGUGCCAAUGUUUUGACCUUUCAAUAGAGAGCUGAUUUUGGAGAAUGGCUUACUCCUGUGAUUGAAAAAGUCUCUGGAAGGUUGAUGGAGCAUGAGCAUGCUUGAUUUUUGGCCUUAAAUCAAAGAGAUAAGUUCAGUCAUUAACAUUAGAACUGUCUUCAGUAUUUUGUUUAUUUGAACAAAGCAAGAACAAAUGUAGCUGCAGUCUUAAACAGCAAUUAAAAAAUCUGGCUGUAACUUCAGGAGAAGAGCAAUCAAGUUCCAGUACAUUUUUUUCAAAGAGCAUUCCUGACUUGUUUUCUUCAGGGGGGAGACCAACUGUCAGAGCAUACGUUUACAGUAUAGGUUUAUUUUGACUUUGCACUCCUGCUUUAAUUCACCAUGAUAGCCCUGUUAAUUUCCAGAAGUUGUCUGUCAUGACCUGACUAGAAGGCUUAUUGCAAUGGAGUGGCAUGCUUGGGUCCAUGCUGUAAACUAUGUUUAGAGCUUCAUAGUAUCUGAUGGUAAAUAGAAUAGACGUAUAUACAAUUUUGCUUUGAUUUAUGUGUAAAGGAGCCGUCUCAAGCUACGCCUAUCUAACAAUGCUUUGGAGAAUCUUUCAUUGAGAUGAUUGAAAUUGCUGCAGUGAGAAUGGAAAUUACUUUGGCUCCUUUCCUUUUAAAAGCUGCAUGCGAGAACUGUGUGAGGAAGAGGUGAGUACUGUGCAUCUUUUAAAGACCACAUCUGCAAUCAACUUUCCUUGUUACCAGCUCAGGCUGGGAAGCAGAGUUUCUGUGCUGUUUAUUCAUGGUCUAUUUCUGCAGUCCUGUGAACUCCAAAAUACUCUUGAUUUGUGUCCUCUCUUGUCACUGAUUCAUUUUGCAAAUAUAACUCAUUAUUACACCUGUGUGUGCCAUUUUUUGCUUGUCAUUUUUGUAAGCAACAUCGUCAACAUUUUGCAAAAUCUUCUAUGUAGUAAAGGUAAUGUACAUGUUUGAACUUCAGCAUAUUUAACAAUAAAUUUUCCUGUGAAGACCUAUUUUACAGAAAGAAUAAGCUGUUUAAAUUGUAACAAUUUCUUAAUGUACAGUAGUAAGCACUGCAUCUCUAAAAAUGUAAAGUGACUUAAACCUAAGUAUUUAAGACUUCUACUGCCAUUUUCUUGAAAUUUCAAAGGCAGUUUUCUUGGUACUGCCUAUGGCACACUGCUAAAUGAAUGUGGUCUGUACUAGAAAUUUGGAUACAGUGAUAUGAAAAUGUUUCAGCUUUUCCCUUAGUCAUGGUAUCUUAAGUAUAGGGGGAAGUCUCCUCUAAUCAGGUAGCCACAUUAGCAGUAAUGGUUGAAUUUUAAGUGUUUAGACUCCCUUUAUCUUCAUUGUAACCUAUUGUCACAGAAGUCACAAGAAAUGAUAGAAAUAUACCCAAAGUGGUGAGCUGCUAUUGUACCAGUUUAACAGCAGCAACAAUUCUUCAUGUAAAAAACAAACAAAACAUUUAAAAUUUAUUUGAAGGAAAACUUAUGUCUGAGAUGUAUGCAAACCUCCUUUCUAAGGUGGCAGUUGCAAGUGUAUUGCAAUAAAAUAUUUAACUAUUAAGAGAAAUAAAAAAUGAUGGAAAAAUGCAAUGGCAUGAGUGACAUUGCUUAUCUUUCUGUGAGGGGGAUAAUAGUCAUCAGAGUAUUUCUUUUUCACUCUAAAUAGUUUAUUUCUGUUAGAAGCUAUUUAAUGGUUGUCAGGUGCAACUCUUAUUUUUUUCCAUAUCUUAUUCACUUAUAAUAAAUAGCUCUGUAUUUGUUAAUAAAUAAAAUUAAAUGUCUUA